rnacentral:tRNA from 1 species
GCUCCCGUAGCUCAGUUGGAUAGAGCAAGAGCCUUCUAAGCUCGAGGUCGGGGGUUCGAAUCCCUCCGGGAGCG